UAACCAACCCUAUUCCAUGCUAGAGUAUUAUACUUUCACCAGUGCGUAGGCGCGGGUAAAACAAAUCGAACCAACUCCAAAUUUGUUGGAAGGAUCAUCGUGUCACUUCGAUUUUCAGGAGAAAGAUGCCCAAAUUUUAGUCCACAAAGAACGAUGCCUUCGUUGCUUCCUUCUCCAAGGUUCUUCAACUUCUGGAACCCACCUGCCCCUCCCAUUUCCCGUUUUUCUCUUUCCCCUUCUUCUUCAACCACAGUCUCACCUCACAGAAUCCUCUCAUCAUCCGCCAUGGCUAUGCCCUUCUCUUCUUCCACUUCCACUCCCAAAACCCACCUCGAACAAGACGAUCAAAACCUCUCACAAGUCCUCAAAUACCACUCCCAAACCAAACAUGGCUUCUCCAACUACGCCAGAGGCCCCCACGGCCUCGAUUGGGCCAAUCAGCCCAACCCCUUCCGCCGCUACAUCUCUGCUCCUCUUUUUCCUCUUUCCCAUUUCCCAAUUCUCAACCAAACCGCCGCAUCAGAUGAUGAAACCCAUGAUGCUUCUCUGUAUGAUUCUCUGUUCGUCUCGUUGCCUCCUCCAAAACCCGUCUGUAAAGCUACAAUUUCUCAAUUCUUCUAUGAUUCUUUGGCUCUUUCUGCUUGGAAAUCUACUGGGUUUUCGACAUGGUCGUUGAGAGUCAAUCCCAGUAGCGGGAAUUUGCAUCCAACUGAAGCGUAUUUGAUUGCUCCGCCUGUAACGUCGCUCUCGGAUUAUGGUUUUGUUGCGCAUUAUGCUCCUAAAGAGCACUCUUUGGAGAUUAGAACUCAAAUCCCACCUGGGUUUUUCUCUAAAUUUUUCCCUGAGAACAGUUUUCUUAUUGGGUUGUCGUCGAUUUUCUGGCGGGAGGCUUGGAAGUACGGCGAGCGAGCGUUUCGGUAUUGUAAUCAUGAUGUCGGCCACGCCAUUGCGGCGGUUGCCAUGGCUGCCGCAGGACUUGGGUGGGAUGUGAAGGUUCUUGAUGGAUUGGGUUAUGCUGAUUUGAAGAAGCUCAUGGGGCUACACACUUUUCCUGAGUUUGAAAUUCCGUCGCAGCCGGUGAAGGGUUCGUUACCGGUGAUUGAAUUCGAGCAUCCUGAUUGUGUGCUUGCUGUUUUCCCUUCUGGCACUGCUGACUUUUCCAUGAACUAUGAGGAAUUAAGCUCUGCAAUAUUGAAAUUCAGUGAGUUAGACUGGAAAGGAGAGCCGAAUUUGCUCAGCAAACAGCACAUUUGCUGGGACAUAAUUUACAGAACGGCCAUGGCCGUUGAGAAGCCACUAACAGGGGAAAGUGGAUCUUUAGUUGAGCCAUUUCACAGCAGUGGGGUUCUUGGUGAACGUCUAUACAAGGGCUUUACUUGGAGGGAAGUUGUGAGGAAGCGCAGGAGCGCAGUGGACAUGGAUGGUGUUACAACAAUGGCGAGAGAUACAUUUUAUCAGAUUCUACUCCAUUGUGUGCCUUCAGGUUCUAUAGAAGGGGAGAAGCAAAGGAGAGAAUUGGCACUGCCGUUUCGUGCACUUCCAUGGGACGCUGAAGUUCAUGCUGCUCUGUUUGUUCACAGAGUGGUGGGGUUGCCACAGGGUCUGUACUUUUUGGUGAGAAACGAAGAUCAUUUCGAUGAGCUGAAGAAAGCAACCAAUCCAGAUUUCAAGUGGGUGAAACCUGAUGGUUGUCCCAGUAGUCUCCCUCUGUAUGAACUACGGAGAGGCAAUUAUCAGACACUUUCCAAGCGACUGUCAUGUCAUCAGGACAUUGCCAGUGAUGGUUGUUUCAGCUUGGGAAUGAUUGCUCACUACGAGCCUACCUUACGUGAAAUGGGGGUUCACAUGUAUCCUCGACUCUUUUGGGAGACUGGAGUUAUUGGGCAGGUGUUAUACCUUGAAGCACAUGCUCUUGAUAUAUCUGCGACUGGAAUUGGUUGCUUCUUUGAUGAUCCCGUGCAUGAAACGCUUGGGUUGAAGGGAUCAAACUUCCAGAGUCUAUAUCAUUUCACUGUGGGAGGUCCUGUCUUGGACAAACGAAUAAUGAGCCUACCAGCAUAUCCUGGCCCCAACGUGGAUGCUUAGACUGCAAGUAUGUUUGUGACUUCUGAAGGCAUAGAAAGACCAGCAAACUAAGAUUAAUUGUAGAUGUUUUUUCCCUCUCCCAAGCAGAAUAAACCUCGAUGGUCUUAAGAGGCCGUCUAGAAUCAAGCUUUGAAGACUUUCAAAAAACUCACUCCAACUUCUUUCAAGAUCGAAACCAAGCAUUCUACUGCCUGAGACAAAACAAAAUGGUUGAUGCAUUAUGUUAGUAAUGCAAUAACAUCAUUUUGAGUUUGAUAGAAACCCAAGUCACUGGAGAAGGGGGAUGAAGAAUCCGGCCAAGCCAAGAAAUUAAAAAGGACACCCUUGAAGACAGUAAUCACAAUAGUCUUCACAAAGAAUACACUCAAAACGGUAAGAACGGAGUCACCCCUAAAUAAUCUCUGCAUAUACUUCCUCCAAUGGAAGAAUUUCUGCCUCUUGUGUCAAAAUUUCCAGGAAAAAAGGACAAAGACAGUACUAUUUCACAGAAUCCUAGCUCGAUUUUUAAAAUGCAAAAUUUAGCUUGUAUUGUAAGUUGACUCUCAUCUCAUGAUUCAUAUAUUUUCUGUAUAGAUCUUUCCCAAAUACACUUCCUGAAACACACUAGACAUUAUUUCUCUACUUAUGACCUAUAAUUCUCUUGA